rnacentral:rRNA from 1 species
CAUGCCGUAAACGAUGAUUACUAGGUGUGGGGGGUCUGACCCCUUCCGUGCCGGAGUUAACACAAUAAGUAAUCCACCUGGGGAGUACGGCCGCAAGGUUGAAACUCAAAGGAAUUGACGGGGGCCCGCACAAGCAGUGGAGUAUGUGGUUUAAUUCGAAGCAACGCGAAGAACCUUACCAGGUCUUGACAUCCAACUAACGAGGCAGAGAUGCGUCAGGUGCCCUUCGGGGAAAGUUGAGACAGGUGG